rnacentral:rRNA from 1 species
GCCUACGGGGGGCAGCAGUAGGGAAUCUUCCACAAUGGGCGAAAGCCUGAUGGAGCAACGCCGCGUGGGUGAAGAAGGUCUUCGGAUCGUAAAACCCUGUUGUUAGAGAUGAAAGUGCGUGAGAGUAACUGUUCACGUUUCGACGGUAUCUAACCAGAAAGCCACGGCUAACUACGUGCCAGCAGCCGCGGUAAUACGUAGGUGGCAAGCGUUAUCCGGAUUUAUUGGGCGUAAAGGGAACGCAGGCGGUCUUUUAAGUCUGAUGUGAAAGCCUUCGGCUUAACCGGAGUAGUGCAUGUGAAACU